rnacentral:rRNA from 1 species
UACGUAGGUGACCAGCGUUGUCCGGAUUUACUGGGCGUAAAGAGCGCGCAGGCGGUCGUUCAAGUCGAGUGUGAAAGCCCCCGGCUCAACUGGGGAGGGUCAUUCGAUACUGAUCGACUCGAAGGCAGGAGAGGGAAGCGGAAUUCCCGGUGUAGUGGUGAAAUGCGUAGAUAUCGAUCGGAACACCCGUGGCGAAGGCGGCUUGCUGGCUCGCAACUGACGCUGAGGCGCGAAAGCGUGGGGAGCAAACAGG